AACACGGCCACAUCCAGGCCUGAGCUUGCCUUCUGCCCACACUCAGCCAAGCGUGUUUGGCGUCCCGUGAAGCCCUAGGACUGCGCAGAGACCUCAGGAGACGGCACGUUCUACAGAGAAAACAGAAGAAAGCCUGCUGUUUGUUUUUCUGCCCUACCCUCUUCCCAAUGCAAUUCUCGUCUUUCCAAUGUGAUCCUCAAAAUCCAGUCCAAUUUUCACUUCCUCCAUGGAAUUUCCUGGACUACUCCAGCCCCUAUCUCUAGACUUCCUGGCCCUCAUUGAAAUAAUACUAAAGAAUGGGGAUUAAAAGCUCAGACUGUGAUGCCAGACCUGCCGUCAAGCUACGUCCUCAGUCUGCUAGCUCUGUGACCCAGGGCUCGUCCACUCUGAGCCUGUUUCCUCCUCUGAAAAAUGGGACCAAGAGUGUGUCUGUGAGAAUGAAAUGAGGUAAUGCAUGAAUGAGAUAACGCCUGACCACAAGCAGGCAUUAAUAAGUGGUAGCUAUGAUUAAUAUGCAUUAUAAUAUGUAAUCUCUCCUCCUGACUUGAAAUAGCACAACACUGGACACAUAGUAUCUGCUCAACGCAUCCCUAUUUGCACUGAACGGAAGGGAAUCGAAAAUGUUUUUCAAAGUGAAGGACGAUUAUGAGCCAGGUUGGAACAGGAAGGCUCCAGGAUGUUAAAUGGCUUGCGGUGUGUGCUUCACAAAUGUGCCAUGAAACAACCACAAAACUCCACUGAGUCAAGUGCCGGAAAGAACGUGCGCAGCUGAGGUUAUCAGAGGAAGAACGUAAACAGGACUGGAACACAUUGUACAAAAGGGCACUGCUAGUCAGAACUGUCUGUUGGAUGGCAGAUCAAACAGGAAUUUGGGUCUUGCUGGAAUUCAGAAAUGAGCCAAACUCACUUAUGAAAAUUUCAUUUGUUAGAUUGUAAUGGGGUUGGGGGGAAGGAGCAAUGCUUCACAUUUUUUAAGAGAACAGCAGAUUUUCAAUCACCAAAAAAAAAAAAAAAAAGAGUCAA